CGUUUUUAAUGUACGAGUUUAAAAUAGCUACUAAUUUUCAGUGAUUAUAGGAGUAGUAAAGUACUUGACUUCAUGCUGUCUCUCUGUGUCAUUUACUGCAGUCUUUUAGACCACUAAAACUAGAAGACAUCGUUUCAAACAAUACGUACUGCAGUCAUAUUAAUACUGUAAUUUGACUGGACGUUUUGUAAAAGUGGAAUGAUGUGAUGUGAUUUCGUCGAUGAAUCACCUUUUUUUUUUUUUUUGACACAAAUUUUUUUUUUUCAUUAAAAAAGGGGCAAGGCCCAAACAGAACCGAACUACAAACAGGCCCAAAACGAACCGGGCCAACUAAAACCAAAAAGAAAGGCCUUCGGCCCCAACAACCUGGGCCUUAGCCCACACCCAAACCCUAGGGUAGGGAAUCCUAAUUUCCGCGCCUCACCGAACGUCGGCGACGCAGCCCUAACCCCAACUCACCACCGCGCUAACGCCAUGUCGCAUGGGGUCAUUCAUCGGAGAGCAUCAUUCCAUCGCGAUCUCAUCCGUAUCCCAUGCCGACAGAACCAAACACUCAUCAAACACGAUCUGCGUAGUCUCAUAAGAACCGUCUACCAUUGACCAACCACCCCCGACAUUCCGAGUCGUUUCAGGUGAGAGAUCAAGAGGCGGAAGAACUAUGAAGCUUUGAGUUUCAGAUUACACCGAGAAAGAAAGACCAGGGAAAAAACUAGAAAGACUGAAACGAAAAGAAAAAACCAAAGCCGAGAAGAGCGAUACUAAGUGAGCUACCGCCUUCCGGAAGCAGGAGCCGGCGAUGACGGUGCUAACAGAGCCACCGUCUCCCAGAAACAAAGGCCGGCGGUCGUAGAGCUGAGAGAGCCUCUACUCCCCGGGAACUAAAACUGAACUCACGAGCCGUCUGCCGCUUCGAUUAACCGUUCUUCACCCCUCACCCCGACUCCAGAGAAAACAGCAUCGCCGCCGUCUGGAGAACCGUACGAGUCGAUCCCUUCUUGGCGCGAUACCCUAGCCCAGAGCCGUCGGCAUGUCGGGGUAAUCGGUAGAUCGAAAACCACAGCGGAAAUCCCUGACUUGAACGGAAAAAGAUGAGCCACCGACGCCGGCACGCGCGCGGACGCGCCACCGGACGUCGGGGGCGUCGACACUUUUCUCUCUCUUUUUUUCUCUCUCUGUAUAAGCUAUUACUUUCUAAUCACCCAUAUAGUUUUUUUUUUUUUUUUUUUUUGGAUCAAAAUCACCCAUAUAGUUUUUUUUUGGGAUCAAAAUCACCCAUAUAGUUUUUUUUUUGGAUCAAAAUCACCCAUAUAGUUUAAAGUCAAAAUUACGGCAGUAGAAUGAUCCUCAUUGCUUAGUGCUUACAUAUCUUGAUAAAAUCAAUCCAAUCCUUUUUUGUUUUAACAAUAGUGUAUAAACACAUUUUCUUCAUAUUAAAAACAAAAAUAAUAUUUAUGUUUGUGCACUACAAGAAAACAUCCGCAUACUAAGGGAAAAAAUUGUCGGUAUGUCUUCGGAAUAACGCUAUUCCGAGGACAUACCGACGAAACAAGUCGUCGGAAAUAUCUCCUCGGAAAAUCAUAUUUUCUCGGAAUUCCG
rnacentral:lncRNA from 1 species